rnacentral:rRNA from 1 species
CUCGUAGGCGGCUCAGUAAGUCAGGUGUGAAAUCCUCAGGCUCAACCUGGGGUCGCCAUCUGAUACUGCUGUGGCUAGAGCCCGGUAGGGGCGCACGGAAUUCCUGGUGUAGCGGUGAAAUGCGCAGAUAUCAGGAGGAACACCGGUGGCGAAGGCGGUGCGCUGGGCCGGAGCUGACGCUGAGGAGCGAAAGCGUGGGGAGCGAACAGGAUUAGAUACCCUGGUAGUCCACGCCGUAAACGUUGGGCACUAGGUGUGGGGCCUUGUCAACGGGUUCCGUGCCGUAGCUAACGCAUUAAGUGCCCCGCCUGGGGAGUACGGCCGCAAGGCUAAA